GGAGAGGACACAGCUGCAGAAGAAGCUUAUGUUACAGAUAUGGACAUUGAGUCUGGGAAAGCUCUCCUUCAAGGACACUCAUCAGAUAACUUGGAGAUUAUGACUCAGAGAUUAUGACGGAUGAUCUUGAGGUCUCUUUCUUAUACCGAGGACACAGCUCCUGCCCAGCAUCUGGGAAUGACUGGAGACUGGCAAGUAGGGUCAUGGGAACCUGGCCUCAAAGCAGUGUUCUACCCGUUGCGUCUGGAGGCUCGCUGCCUCCUCCUUGCCCCUUUCCCAAUUCGGAUGACACACGACGUGGGAUCAGCCUUGAACUCCAGAGCAGGAGAAGUCACCACUGAAUUCUGUGGAUUACCCCUGAGGAUCACAGCGAGUUUAUUCUCUGGGCUACUAUACAGGAUUUUGCCGAGGCCUCCCUUCCAUGGCCGGCCACCGGCUUUGCACACACGUCUACCGUGGGCCCUACUCCACAGCAGAGCUGGAGGGGCCGCCGACUCUGCAGGAUGCCCGUGGAUCUCAGGCUCCUGCAAACACCGGUGUCUAAGGAGUUAGCUGGGAGGCCACCCCCGUGGGAGCCUGCAAGGCUGCCCCUAGCUGUGGGAGCUGAAGAGGCCAUAUUUAG
rnacentral:lncRNA from 12 species